AUGUACGAGGUAAUGGUGUGGGAGAUUUUCGUGAAACACUGUUGGAAUUUAAUCGGACCAUAACGGAUACUAUAGAUAAUUCAAGAUUUUCACCCGAAUCCACGCUGGUGCUGGUGGCAUUUAUGGACUUUACACAAUCCUCCAACGAUCGUGUGUCUUCCGAAGACAUCUUACUUUUUGCCAAGGGACCCAACUCACAUCUAUUUCACAGUAUACACGAUGAAACCUAUAUGGCCCAUGUUAUCUCUUACUCCCUACAAAUGGGACCAUUUCAACC